CUCCUUUCCAUUGAAUGUUUUGCCACAUGCAAACUUUCAUCGUCUGUCUCAGUGUACUUCUGUCUUCUGCUAGGCUUACUUUCAAAGGUUAAAAGAAUAGAGUCAAGAAAGCUCAGUGUCAGUUGGAGGUGAAGUCACCAGCAUUGCAUUUCUCCACCAGUCACAACUGAUAAGUUCAGAACCACAUCAGCAAUCAGAACAACAGAACUAGCAUCACCCUGUUUCAGCUGCUUCCCUUAAUGCUCGAAGGGAAGCCAGCUGCACUGAAUGCCUGCCUGAAGGAUGCGCAGUGGC